rnacentral:lncRNA from 1 species
CAGAGCUGAACUGAGACAUGGACUACGUCAUCAAGAAGUCAGUUUGUCUCUUGGUCUGGGAAUUGGCUAACGUACCAUGACCAAAUGUGACUCCACCAGAGAAGAGUAAAGAGAGGAAUAUAUUAACAUAGGAAACAGCCAGCUGCUUCAUUCCCUGUCAUGUGAUACUACAUCCAAACCUGUCCCUGCCCAGAUCCUCCUCUACUCUGUAUGCACCGAGUGCCGCAGUGCUCCCCCUGGGUGUAGUGUUCUGCACUCAGCAGAGAUUCUUGAUGGGGAAAGCAACUGCCCCUGGCCAACUCUCAGCUAUACACAAUAAUCCACAUGGGCAUUAAUAAAAUCUGACCAUGCAGCAAGCAUCUUACCCUUCAUCUCAGUACUCAUGGUUUCUGAGAUUGCAC